CGAAGAAGAGGGAGACCUUUAGACCUAAGUGAAGUAGUCUUUAGCCGCUACGCAGGCCAUCUUCAUAGUGGAAUCUACCAGAUUAACUUGCAAGUGAAGUAGUCUUUAGCCGCUACGCAGGCCAUCUUCAUAGUGGAAUCUACCAGAUUAACUUGUAAGUGAAGUAGUCUUUAGCCGCUACGCAGGCCAUCUUCAUAGUGGAAUCUACCAGAUUAACUUGCAAGUGAAGUAGUCUUUAGCCGCUACGCAGGCCAUCUUCAUAGUAGAAUCUACCAGAUUAACUUGUAAGUGAAGUAGUCUUUAGCCGCUACGCAGGCCAUCUUCAUAGUGGAAUCUACCAGAUUAACUUGCAAGUGAAGUAGUCUUUAGCCGCUACGCAGGCCAUCUUCAUAGUGGAAUCUACCAGAUUAACUUGUAAGUGAAGUAGUCUUUAGCCGCUACGCAGGCCAUCUUCAUAGUGGAAUCUACCAGAUUAACUUCUAAGUGAAGUAGUCUUUAGCCGCUACGCAGGCCAUCUUCAUAGUGGAAUCUACCAGAUUAACUUGCAAGUGAAGUAGUCUUUAGCCGCUACGCAGGCCAUCUUCAUAGUGGAAUCUACCAGAUUAACUUGUAAGUGAAGUAGUCUUUAGCCGCUACGCAGGCCAUCUUCAUAGUGGAAUCUACCAGAUUAACUUGUAAGUGAAGUAGUUUUUAGCCGCUACGCAGGCCAUCUUCAUAGUGGAAUCUACCAGAUUAACUUGUAAGUGAAGUAGUCUUUAGCCGCUACGCAGGCCAUCUUCAUAGUGGAAUCUACCAGAUUAACUUGCAAGUGAAGUAGUCUUUAGCCGCUACGCAGGCCAUCUUCAUAGUGGAAUCUACCAGAUUAACUUGUAAGUGAAGUAGUCUUUAGCCGCUACGCAGGCCAUCUUCAUAGUGGAAUCUACCAGAUUAACUUCUAAGUGAAGUAGUCUUUAGCCGCUACGCAGGCCAUCUUCAUAGUGGAAUCUACCAGAUUAACUUGCAAGUGAAGUAGUCUUUAGCCGCUACGCAGGCCAUCUUCAUAGUGGAAUCUACCAGAUUAACUUGUAAGUGAAGUAGUCUUUAGCCGCUACGCAGGCCAUCUUCAUAGUGGAAUCUACCAGAUUAACUUGUAAGUGAAGUAGUUUUUAGCCGCUACGCAGGCCAUGUUCAUAGUGGAAUCUACCAGAUUAACUUAACAGAUUAACGAGUAGUAUCUCUAUAGAAGGGUAAACCAUACAUGCGAGAAGUAUCUCUAUAGAAGGGUAAACCAUACAUGCGAGUAGUAUCUCUAUAGAAGGGUAAACUUUACACGCGAGUAGUAUCUCUAUAGAAGGGUAAACCAUACAUGCGAGUAGUGUCUCUAUAGAAGGGUAAACCAUACAUGCCGAGAAGUAUCUCUAUAGAAGGGUAAACCAUACAGCGAGUAGUAUCUCUAUAGAAGGGUAAACUUUACACGCGAGUAGUAUCUCUAUAGAAGGGUAAACUAUACAUGCGAGUAGUAUCUCUAUAGAAGGGUAAACCAUACAUGCGAGUAGUAUCUCUAUAGAAGGGUAAACCACAUACAUGCGAGUAGUAUCUCUAUAGAAGGGUAAACUAUACUUGCGAGUAGUAUCUCUAUAGAAGGGUAAACCAUACAUGCGAGUAGUGUCUCUAUAGAAGGGUAAACAAUACAUGCGAGUAGUAUCUCUAUAGAAGGGUAAACCAUACAUGCGAGAAGUAUCUCUAUAGAAGGGUAAACCAUACAUGCGAGAAGUAUCUUUAUAGAAGGGUAAACCAUACAUGCGAGUAGUAUCUCUAUAGAAGGGUAAACCAUACAUGCGAGUAGUAUCUCUAUAGAAGGGUAAACCAUACAUGCGAGAAGUAUCUCUAUAGAAGGGUAAACCAUACAUGCGAGUAGUGUCUCUAUAGAAGGGUAAACCAUACAUGCGAGUAGUAUCUCUAUAGAAGGGUAAACCAUACAUGCGAGAAGUAUCUCUAUAGAAGGGUAAACCAUACAUGCGAGUAGUAUCUCUAUAGAAGGGUAAACUAUACAUGCGAGUAGUAUCUCUAUAGAAGGGUAAACCAUACAUGCGAAUAGUAUCUCUAUAGAAGGGUAAACCAUACAUGCGAGUAGUAUCUCUAUAGAAGGGUAAACUAUACAUGCGAGUAGUAUCUCUAUAGAAGGAUGAAUUAAUCGUUACAAGCUUGAGAAAAUGAUAUGUAACCGCAAACCACAACCGCUGACUUAUCUGUCAAGGACCGACGACUCCAAUCAGUACAUUUGGCGCCUGAAUAUAUCUAUAAGAUUUAGCAAAAUGUCAAGUAAAAUGUAAAAAAGAAUUAAACAUAGCCAAUUAAGGGUGAAACGACUGCGGAAAUCACCAGCUCCCUUUCCCCAAAAAAAUAUAUAUAUAUCGGGUUUCAAAGCCAAAUCACCGGAAUUAAAGAGAUUUAACCCCUGUACCAAGUUUACUCUUAUAAGAAAUAAAUGAAAAGGCGUCACCUAUGAUACCUCAAAUUGCCAAAAUUUAUGCGACAGAAUUGCGGGAAAGACAAGCGGUUGAAAGAGGAACUAAUGCAAAACGGGUAUUGGAAUUGACGGAGUUUGUUUCUUGGGAUUCUGAUGAGCCGGUACAUCAAAAUCGCCUACGAAAGAGUAUUUUUUUGCGGAGACAGAUUAAAGGGAAGUUCAUGGAAGCAAUUUAUAUUAAACGACCAUGACCACAGGCGGAGACGAGCGUUCUAAGGAAACAUCACAAGACUUGACAUAGGCGUAUCGCGAUGACACUCCUAACCUUCGAAUCACAAGACUCUACAGUUAGCUAAGAAUCGCGACAACUUUAGCAUCAAAUCAGUGAAUAUUUCAUGAGCUCGCUUGGUUAUCUGCUAUUUGUUCCACCUAGAAUUUAAUUAAAGUGCGUGGACAUUUAGUGGCUGGGGUAAACCAUCACUGUGUAAUCUCUCAAUGUCAUUUAAAACUUUACAUAUAACCUUUUCUGUCUAUAAUGAAUAGGCAGGCUUCUUAAAAUAAAGAAUCGAUUUAGGCUUAUAUGUGGCAAGCUGUUACCUUAAUUAAUCUGACGUACAUUAAACGAUUUGAAGAAAAUGAAAAUAAAUAGGUACAGGCGCUCUCCACAGGCCUCGUGUUUGGCUUUCUGGUAAACGUUUUGCAAAUGUCCAUUUUUUUAUAAAUUAAAAGUAGCAUUCGAAAUUCGUAACUUUUUUGCCUUUUAUUUAUUUUUAAGGUGUAAAUUGAAACGGUGAAAAUAGCUGUAGCUUUAAUUUUUGGAUAUAAGUGUGCGACGGAAGCAAGUUCUCUUUUGUAAGAGUAGAUUGCAGAACCAUUAAGCUAAAAUUACCCCCCCCCCCCC